rnacentral:rRNA from 1 species
GCGUGGAGGAUGAAAGCCUUCGGGUUGUAAACUCCUGUCAGGUGGGACGAAAAGGCGGCGGUUAAUAACCGUAGCCCUUGACGGUACCACCGGAGGAAGCCCCGGCUAACUACGUGCCAGCAGCCGCGGUAACACGUAGGGGGCAAGCGUUAUUCGGAAUUAUUGGGCGUAAAGGGCGCGUAGGCGGCCAGACAAGUCAGUGGUGAAAUCCCUCGGCUCAACCGAGGAACUGCCUCUGAAACUAUCUGGCUUGAGGCCGGGAGAGGGUAGUGGAAUUCCCAGUGUAGCGGUGAAAUGCGU